CCUACGGGUGGCAGCAGUGGGGAAUAUUGCGCAAUGGGGGCAACCCUGACGCAGCCAUGCCGCGUGAAUGAAGAAGGCCUUCGGGUUGUAAAGUUCUUUCGGUAGCGAGGAAGGCAUUUAGUUUAAUAGACUAGGUGAUUGACGUUAACUACAGAAGAAGCACCGGCUAACUCCGUGCCAGCAGCCGCGGUAAUACGGAGGGUGCGAGCGUUAAUCGGAAUAACUGGGCGUAAAGGGCACGCAGGCGGUGACUUAAGUGAGGUGUGAAAGCCCCGGGCUUAACCUGGGAAUUGCAUUUCAUACUGGGUCGCUAGAGUACUUUAGGGAGGGGUAGAAUUCCACGUGUAGCGGUGAAAUGCGUAGAGAUGUGGAGGAAUACCGAAGGCGAAGGCAGCCCCUUGGGAAUGUACUGACGCUCAUGUGCGAAAGCGUGGGGAGCAAACAGGAUGAGAGACCCGAGUAGUC
rnacentral:rRNA from 1 species